rnacentral:rRNA from 1 species
AUUGAACGCUGGCGGCAUGCCUUACACAUGCAAGUCGAACGGUAACAGGUCUUCGGAUGCUGACGAGUGGCGAACGGGUGAGUAAUACAUCGGAACGUGCCUAGUAGUGGGGGAUAACUACUCGAAAGAGUGGCUAAUACCGCAUGAGAUCUACGGAUGAAAGCAGGGGAUCGCAAGACCUUGUGCUACUAGAGCGGCCGAUGGCGGAUUAGGUAGUUGGUGGGAUAAAAGCUUACCAAGCCGACGAUCUGUAGCUGGUCUGAGAGGACGAUCAGCCACACUGGGACUGAGACACGGCCCAGACUCCUACGGGAGGCAGCAGUGGGGAAUUUUGGACAAUGGGCGCAAGACUGAUCCAGCAAUGCCGCGUGCAGGAUGAAGGCCUUCGGGUUGUAAACUGCUUUUGUACGGAACGAAAAGCCCUGGGUUAAUACCCUGGGGUCAUGACGGUACCGUAAGAAUAAGCACCGGCUAACUACGUG